GACGAACCGUACGAACGUUAUUCGGAAUCACUGGGCUUAAAGCGCGUGUAGGCGGGCCGGCACGUCGACGGCUGAAAGCCCCCCGGCUCAACCGGGGAAGGGGCCUCGAUACGACCGGCCUGGAGGGGGGGUAGGGGGAGCCGGAACUCACGGUGGAGCGGUGAAAUGCGUUGAGAUCGUGAGGAACGCCCGCGGCGAAAGCGGGCUCCUGGGCCCCCGCCUGACGCUGAGACGCG
rnacentral:rRNA from 1 species